GAGGGGGUGUGUUGCAGGGGUUUCCAAGCCCAGCACCAGCACCCUUGCCCUUUUCCAUCAGGGGUUCAGCCUAGGGUCCCCGCUGGUGGGCGGCUCCCGAGUCUUGGAGAAGAGCACGAGAACCUAGACCGCCCCCGAAGUGCGGAGACCCCCUGGGCAGGCUGAAAGAUGGCGGCGGCGUCUGUCUCUGCGGCUUCUGGUUCUCACUUGUCGCCAUAUUUUCUGCUCUUAAGAAUCUUCAAGAUAAGAUUCGACGCUUGGAACUUGAGAGGAUUCAGGCAGAAGAAAGUGUGAAAACCUUGUCUAGAGAAACAAUUGAAUAUAAGAAAGUACUGGAUGAACAGAUACAAGAAAGGGAGAAUUCAAAGAAUGAGGAAUCAAAGCACAAUCAAGAACUGACAUCUCAGUUGUUAGCUGCAGAAAAUAAAUGCAAUCUAUUAGAAAAA
rnacentral:lncRNA from 1 species